UAUAGUGAGACCACUAUAGCGGGAAUUUAUCUACUAUAGCGGGGCCUCUACAAUGGAGCAAGGCCGCUAUAACGGCCUUUAUCAUUUCAGAAUUCCAAGAGAUACGUUAAUGGCUUCUCUUGAUCUGAAACCCUAUUUUAAGGGUCUGAAUAUGGGCUCUAGCUUGCGACUCUACAGGUGAUAAAUUUUGGUAAGUCAUUUUAGGAUUUGUUGAGAAUGCUAAGAAUGUAAAACUGGAUUUUUACGCGAGAAGAAGGACAAGAAGGAUGGUGAUUUCAAUAGGUCCUUUUCUAAGAGACCAUUUCUGUUGGCACCAAUUUCUGAGGGGUAUUCUGAACGUCCUGUUCAGUCAGCAAUGCAUGUAUCAUCUUGGGAUUCAUCUGGGACCAGUCAACAACCAUCAGGGCAGAGAUGAUAUUCUAUCUCUUUUACUUCAAUAUAGAGGACGACUUUGGACCAAAUCUGCUAUGAGUGUGGUCAGACAUGGUAUAUUCAUAAAUAGCAGGCUGAAAUUUCAUAAAAACCAAUUGUGAAAUUGGGACUCGCCGUUACCUGAGAUAUAUAAAAUACAUAGUGCAAGUAUCCCAAAUUUAUGCAUACUAUACUUAUAAUUUCACAACAGCAGACUUCACAAGGAAUUGUUCCAACUGGUAGAUGAGGGAGUCCAUUUAGGAGGGAUCAUUCUCAGCUUGGGCGAGGUGGAUCCAAGCCUAGUAGGGGUGGCACUCAAUCUAACAGAGGUGACGGUCAGAUAGGUGGAUGCAGUACUCAGCCUUGUAAAGGCAAUUCCUAAACAGGGGGAAGGGCUCAUUUCUAUUUUUUUCACAUAGACUUGAGGUGGAGAAAUUCAAUGCAGUGAUUACAUGUAUCCUUCUUAUUUGUGACUAGAUGGAUACAUUCUUAUUUGAUUUCGGUUCCACCUUUUCUUAUGUAUCCUCCAAUUUGUUCUGUUGGUCUAGAUAUGAUUUGUGAGUCUAUUGAUGUUUCUAUACAUGUCUACUCUGGUGGAGGGGAUUCUGUGAUAGUUGAUAUAGUCCACCAUUCCUGUUAUGUGACUUUUAUGGAAUAUUAGACGUGGGUAGAUUUAGUGAUCCUAGAUAUGAUCGAUUUUGAUAUUAUUUUGGGGUUGAGUUGGUUAUCUUUGUAUCAUGCUAUCUUAGACUAGCACAUGAAAUCUGUCUCUAUUUCUAUGUCUGCAUGUCUAGAUUGUAGUGGAAGGAGAAAAAUCCUUUAUUCAUAAGUCCAUAAUCUGAUCUAGGUAAAUUCAUGAACUUCAUUGGAUUAUUCCUUCUGACUAAGCAUAUGUACCAUGAAUUGUUUUAGUAAGAUAAUUUAAUCAAUCCCUUGUUUUGAAAGAACUCUUCAAGGACCAAACGGUCCCUUUCCUUCAUACUUCAUAUAAAUAAAUCUAAAACCUCAGAGUAUAUCUUUCCACAAAUAUUUUCCUAAGAAAAUAUUAUCCUAUAUUCGUGCGAAGAAGUUACUAGAAAGUGGAUGUUUAGCAUUUUUGGCUCAUCUCUGAGAAACUAGGAAAGAGGUCCUUUCUAUUGGGUCAGUUCUAGUGGUGUAUUAUUUUUUAGAGGUGUUUCUUGUUGACCUACGUGAUAUGCCACCAGACCGUGAUGUUGAUUUUAUUAUUGACUUAGAGCUGGGGAAUCAUCUCAUUUUUAUUCUGCCAUAUUGGAUGAUACCCUCUAAGUUGAGGGAACUGAAAGUUCAGUUAUAAGAUUUGUUUAGUAAGGGGUUUAUUUGUCUGAGUGCAUCUCCUUGGGGUGCUCCAAAUAUAGGAGUAUGUUUAUGUGUAUUGACCACCAUCAAUUGAAAAAGUUCAUAUGUGUAUUGACUUACAUUAGUUGAACAAGGUCAUAUGUGUAUUGACUUACAUCAGUUGAACAAGGUCACUAUUCGAAAUAAGUAUCCUCUUGGCUACAUUAAUGACUUGUUUGAAUAGUUGCAGAUGCGUUAGUCUUUACUAAAAUUGACUUGAGGUCUAAAUGUCAUCAACUUAAGAUUCAGACUAAAAAAUAUUCCUAAGAUAACUUUUUGAACUAGGUAUGAGCAUUAUGUGUUUUUGGUUAUGACUUUCGGACUUACUAAUGCUCCUGUAACUUUUUGAGCUUGAUGAAUGAUAUUUUCAAACCAUAUCUAAAUUCGUUCAUUAUUGUGUUCGUUGAUAAUAUCUUAGUGUAUUUUAAGAGUAAAGAGAAGCAUGAGAAUCACCUUAGGAUUGUGUUGGGGUAGCUUAAAGAGAAGCAGUUGUAUGCUAAAUGUUUUAAGUGUGAGUUCUGACUGUCUUUAGACACUACAAGAAAAAAAGCCUUAUUUAUGACCAAUAUUUAGGGACGAGUUAGUAAUCUCUCUCUAAAAGUAUAUAUAUUGGGACGAGAUGAUAUUCCGAUCCUUAAUGUUGUGUUUUAUUAGGAAGAUAAAAAAUUUUGGUCCUUAAGAAAAGUAGUAGCCGGUCCCAAAUUGUAAUUGAGAGCAUUUAGCAAGAGGGACUGCCGCCAAAAUUUAUUAAAAUUGUAAUAAAACAUAAACUUUUCUUUCACUGAAACUUAGGUGGGAAAAGAAUUAUUUUUCUGAAAAAUUGGAUAAACUCUCUCUUCUCUCAAAAUUCUUUCACUAAAACUUAGGCGGGUAAAGAAUUAUUUUUCUGAAAAAUUGGAGAAAACUCUCUGUUUUCUCUCAAAAUUCUUUCACUAAAACUUAGGUGGGAAAAGAAUUAUUUUUCUGAAAUAUUGGACAAAACUCCCUGUUUUCUCUCAAAACUCAAUGGUCACAAACUUUGCCCACCUCUGUACGUUGCCAUCACAGCUUUGCAAAUUCUUGAAGGUUGGAUUAAGGUUUCCUCCUGUCGCAAACUUGGAGACAUCUUUCCUCAACGUAUAGGUGUCUUCUUUCUUGGGUUAUCACAGCUCUACCCUAAUCUCUAUUUUCUAUCUAGCUCAAACUUCAAUUCCAGGUUAUGGCAUCUAGUAAGCAAUGGAUGCAACUUGCUCUUGAUAAUCGGGUCGACAAAACCUACUUAGACGGGGUUACAAAGUUCUUGAAUUAUGCUUUUCGGGGAUCAGAAGAAGAAUUUAAAAUUAGAUGUCCAUGUUACAAAUGUCGUAAUACAACACCAGAAACUCGUGAGACGAAUGAGACACAUUUGAAAGUAUAUGUAAUAAUUCAAAAUUAUACUUUCUAGUAACAUCAUGGCGAACAUUUAGGUGAGCCAGUAUUUGACUCUGAAGAUGAACAUGAUGAAAAAAAUAGAAGAUUGUGAGAGUGAAAUUGAAGUACAAGAGCUGUUGAGAGAUUUACAUCCAAAUGUUGAUGGAGGAGCUAGCCAUACUAAUUAUGAUGAUUUAUUUGAGGAGGAACCAAAUGUUGAAGCAAUUUUUUUUUUACAGUCUACUGAAGGAUUUUGAGUA